CUUGCGGGGAUCAGCAGUCGCAUCCAGGCAUCGUUGACGAGUGGAACUGUCAUAUAUUCAUGAAAUACCUGUACGAGUACUACAUACACUACAGGAAUGUUGAGCGAUGCCUCGUUUACCGUGGGUCGUCAGCAUGGCGAAGUGAAAAAAUAUUUCCUGCUCAUAACUACGCGCGCCACCCACGAAAACUGCCGAGCAAGCACGGGUGUUGUUUUGCAGAUACAUUCUGGGCAUCAGCAGCGAAGUGUUUCGCACUAUGUUUUAUGGAAGCUGGGCAGGGAUUGGGGAGCAGUCUGUCGUGGAUAUUCCCGAGAUCCAUCCGGAUGCCUUUGCCAACAUGCUCACUCAGAUGGGCCGUGGCGGCUUGUGAAGACAAUGGUGUGGAGCCUUCCGGUGGUAAUCGACGGGAAGUGUUGGACGCUGUUCUCAAUUUUGUCCCUUUCACCAUGCUGACCGGUCCUCAAUUGGCUAACGGUGCCAAGACAGGGUUACUGCUUCCCACCAAGCUAUUGGAAGUUUUUCUGUACAAAUUCUCGGAAACCGCAUCGGCUCUUCCGCUUCCUGAACGGUCACAAUGAUUGCUGCAGUUCACUAAGAAAAAAGGAUCGCUUUCAAACGAUGAAAACGAACUGGAUAAUAUACAGGACGGCCCGUGCUCUUCUGACCAGGAGGAAGAGGACAUGGGAGAUUCUGAGGAAGAAGAAGAAAUACCGCUGGAUGUGCUGCUUGAGUCGGAGCUGGGAACGGAUGAAGAGGACGAUGAUUACGAGCCGCAAGAGGAAAGUGACGAUGACAGUGACAGAUAUGUUGGGUUUUCAGCUUUCUUUUCGAUGUAAAGCGGUACAUCUGCAACAAUUUCAUGUGAAUUACGCGAAACGCGUACGGUUUGGCCCACGCGAAACAGUAAAGCCAGUGAAGAUUUUUUUCAACUUGAAAUUUUCAGUGGUCUUCGCUGAAUUUGCUCAGUCUGUCGUGAUCAGAAAUUCAGGACAUGUUUAUUGAUGAUGUUAACAGGUACUUUAAUCUAAGAGAUGUGAUUUUGGCUUUAUAGUAGUGAUCAAUGGACGAAUGGAAUGAUGAAGAAGGCGAAGAAUCAUUUUUCAAACGGUGGAUUCCAUGAAAGUCUGAAGAAUUCUCAGCUUUUUUCUGACUUAGUUUUUUCCCUGUGGAAGAGUUUGUGGUAGUAUUGUCUUUCUGAUGUUUUAAUUUUUUAUCUAUGUGUGUGCUUAGUUGCUAUUGUAUAUUCUUUUGUGAUUAAUUUUUCAUCUGAUGGAACUUUUUUUCAGUUUUGAUGGCUUUGGCAUUAAUCUUUUCACAGCAUUUAUCGCCAGCGAUAACAGCUUGAACACGGUUGCAAAU